rnacentral:rRNA from 1 species
AUUUAUUGGGCGUAAAGAGUCUGUAGGUGGUAGAGUAAGUUACAAAUUAAAACUCAUCGGCUUAACCUUUGAACUGUUUGUAAUACUGCUAUACUAAGAGGGCGUUAGAGGCAAACGGAACCGACGGAGUAGGGGUGAAAUCCGUUGAUAUCGUCGGGAACACCAAAAGCGAAGGCAGUUUGCUGGGACGGCCCUGACACUGAGAGACGAAAGCGUGGGGAGCAAAAAGGAUUAGAUACCCUUGUAGUCCACGCUGUAAACGAUGGAUACUAGCUAUUGGCAGUGUCGACCCUGCCAGUGGCGAAGCUAACGCGUUAAGUAUCCCGCCUGGGAAGUACGGUGGCAACACUAAAACUCAAAGGAAUAGACGGGGACUCACACAAGCGGUGGACCAUGUGGCUUAAUUCGACGACAAACGAAGAACCUUACCAGGACUAGAAACCCCACUGACCAUCCUAUGAAAGUAGGACUUCGCAAGACAGUUGGGCAGGUGCUGCAUGGUUGUCGUCAGUUCGUGUCCUGAGACGUACCGUUAAUUCGGGUAACGAACGCAACCCUUGCUCUGUGUUUUACAUGUCACAGAGGACUGCCCGAGAUAAUUGGGAGGAAGGUGAGGAUGACGCCAAAUCAGCAUG